UACGAAGGGGGCUAGCGUUGCUCGGAAUGACUGGGCGUAAAGGGCGCGUAGGCGGUUUGCACAGUCGGGCGUGAAAUUCCAGGGCUCAACCUUGGGGCUGCGUUCGAGACGUGUGGGCUAGAGUGUGGAAGAGGGUCGUGGAAUUCCCAGUGUAGAGGUGAAAUUCGUAGAUAUCGGGAGGAACACCUGUGGCGAAAGCGGCUCACUGGACCACAACUGACGCUGAUGCACGAAAGCUAGGGGAGCAAACAGG
rnacentral:rRNA from 1 species